AUACCAGCUUGCUGGUAGGCGUCGAGCGGCGGACGGGUGAGUAACACUUAGGAAUCUACCUAGUAGUGGGGGAUAGCUCGGGGAAACUCGAAUUAAUACCGCAUACGACCUACGGGAGAAAGGGGGCAACUUGUUGCUCUCGCUAUUAGAUGAGCCUAAGUCGGAUUAGCUAGUUGGUGGGGUAAAGGCCUACCAAGGCGACGAUCUGUAGCUGGUCUGAGAGGAUGAUCAGCCACACCGGGACUGAGACACGGCCCGGACUCCUACGGGAGGCAGCAGUGGGGAAUAUUGGACAAUGGGGGCAACCCUGAUCCAGCCAUGCCGCGUGUGUGAAGAAGGCCUUUUGGUUGUAAAGCACUUUAAGCAGUGAAGAAGACCUAACGGUUAAUACCCGUUAGCGAUGACAUUAGCUGCAGAAUAAGCACCGGCUAACUCUGUGCCAGCAGCCGCGGUAAUACAGAGGGUGCAAGCGUUAAUCGGAAUUACUGGGCGUAAAGCGAGCGUAGGUGGCUUGAUAAGUCAGAUGUGAAAUCCCCGGGCUUAACCUGGGAACUGCAUCUGAUACUGUUAGGCUA
rnacentral:rRNA from 1 species